ensembl:lncRNA
GAACAGUUGUGUUGUUUAUGGAAUAUGGAAUUAACCUUAUACUCUGAAGUAAUAACUUGUGCAAGAUUUGGGGAGGAAUAGCAGGGGCAGAGGGAAGUGAGGAAAGAAAAAGGACCGAAAAACAUUCAGAGAGAUGCACUGUUUGUAAACACAUUCCAGGACAUGGCCAUCCCCUGUGGAUGCAUCUGACCAGGCUAAUGAUCAGGAUUUCCCUGCCAAUAGGAAAUCAGUAGAAAAUCUCUCAUCAGCUGGAAAAAGUAAUUAAAGAAGAGAAUUAGACAAUUUUAAUGUAUGGAAGAACAAACUUUCCUGGAAUCUGACUGCUAGCAAAAUCUUAGCUUGCAACUGCCUUCACGUCCUGUCCUUGCAGUGUAAGUAGGACACGGAAAAUACAACAUUUUUACGAAGAGCGGAAAUUCUAGCUAGAAAAGUUUUUCACAUUUUGAAGUUUGACUUUGCUUUAAACUGGAUAAAAGCCUAAAAAUUCAAGUUUCUUCCUAGUAAAAUGCCAAAGCAUUUUCCAAGCUGCUUGGUUUCAGUGUAAUAUACUUUUCAAAAGCUGUUCCAAAAAGCCAGUGAAAACAACUGCAUUUUUUCCAUUUUUAAACAAUUCAUGUGCACCCUUUUCCUUAAUAAAGUAUUUUGUUGCAAAUGCACAUUUCAGAGCAAUGUUAUUCUGCAGUCUGUCCAGUGUGUUCUAAGCAGGUCUUUUAGGUCUCAUUGCUCCAGAUUUCCCCAAACUGUUGCUCUCUGCAAUUGCAACAGUGGGGAGGGAGGAGUCAAGGAAAUGGAUUUCUACAAUGAUUUUAGUAUGUGCUUAAGAAGAGUCUUAGUAAAUACCAGCAUGGUAUUUUCCAGCCCAACAAUCAGCAAGUGACAACGGAGCAAUUCCCACCAUGGAUGUCAGAGCCCCACACAGACUGUGUCCACACCACAGACUUCAGCAGCUCCAUAGAUACCAGGGUGUGGUACUGAGCAAUGUGCAGCUGGUAGGCAUUACUUACGGACAAUUUAGCAAAUUAGGCCAAUGCUGCACAUGAAUGUUGGUGCACCAGGAGGGGCAGAAUGAGGCUUUCCCCUCAGAGCUGUUGCUGGUGAUGCAGGAAAGUGCCUUGAGAGAGGCUCCGCUGACUCCAGAGAGCUUGUAAGUGCAGGGGGAGAUACCUGAGCAUCUGACGAGGCAGGACAAGCCUCCAUGAUCACAGUACUCUUCGCUAGUUAAGUGUUCACAGCAAUUACUGACCUGUUUGCUUUUCAUUUGUCACUGGGGUUUGAUUAGCAGGUAUUUGGUCAUACAAUCCUUUGAGAUUUGCCUCGUAUUGAUGGAAGAAUAGGAAACAGGUUAAUCCUUUAAAGUACUUCAAUAUAAUAAAAGAUAAAACUGAAACAGGAAUAUCCCGCUUCUAUUUAAAAGACACAAUGCUAUCAGAUGAGGAACG